ACUUCCUAAGCCGGAACGAAAAGUAGCUCUGUCGCGAGGCAAAUUUGGAAUGAUACAAAUUUGUAAAAGCACAUAGGUACUUUUGGCUUUGUGGUUGUGAUGUUGUGUUUGCAAGUUGUCUGGGAAACCAGACUUUGUAGCAUAUGCUAUUGUUUUUUUUCACUUCCUGUACAUUUACCCUGUCUGUCCAUAGUGAUUUUUUAAUGCACCGCAAUUGCGGUGCUUUUUUUC
rfam:Xenorhabdus cabanillasii JM26, WGS project CBXE01000000 data, contig: XENCA_2134_Contig_102